rnacentral:rRNA from 1 species
UACGGGGGGAGCAAACGUUGUUCGGAAUCACUGGGCGUAAAGGGCGUGUAGGCGGCUGAAUAAGUGGGAUGUUAAAUCCCCGGGCUCAACCCGGGACCUGCAUCUCAUACUGUUCAGCUCGAGCACAUCAGAGGUGACUGGAAUUUACGGUGUAGCAGUGAAAUGCGUAGAGAUCGUAAGGAAGACCAGUGGCGAAGGCGGGUCUCUGGACAGUUCCUGACACUGAGGCACGAAGGCCAGGGGAGCAAACGGG